AGAGUUUGAUCAUGGCUCAGAACGAACGCUGGCGGCGUGGCUAAGACAUGCAAGUCGAACGGACUCGUUAAUUUAUUAGCGAGUUAGUGGCGAAAGGGUGAGUAAUGGAUAGGUAACGUACCCCGAGCUCUGGGAUAGCCAUCCGAAAGGGUGGGUAAUACCGGAUAACCUCAUCGGCCGGCGGGUCGGUGAGCAAAGAUUUAUCGGCGCGGGCGCGGCCUAUCUCCUAUCAGCUAGUUGGUGAGGUAAUGGCCCACCAAGGCGAUGACGGGUAGCGGGACUGAGAGGUUGGCCCGCCACAUCGGAACUGAGAUACUGUCCGGACCCCCACGGGGGGCUGCAGUAACGGAUCUUGGGCAAUGGGCGAAAGCCUGACCCAGCGACGCCGCGUGCGGGAGGAAGUCCUUCGGGAUGUAAACCGCUGUCAGGGCUAAGAAAGUCCACUUCGGUGGAUUGAUCUAACCCAGAGGAAGUCACGGCUAACUCUGUGCCAGCAGCCGCGGUAAGACAGAGGUGGCAAGCGUUGUUCGGUAUCACUGGGCUUAAAGCGUGUGUAGGCGGGAACGUAAGCAUUUUGUGAAAUCCCCCGGCUUAACCGGGGCAUGGCUUGAUGGACUGCGUUUCUUGAGGCAAGUAAGGGUGCGAGGAACUCUUGGUGGAGCGGUGGAAUGCGUAGAUAUCAAGAGGAACGCCGGCGGUGAAGACGUCGCACUGGGCUUGUCCUGACGCUGAGACACGAAAGCGUGGGGAGCAAACGGGAUUAGAUACCCCGGUAGUCCACGCUGUAAACGAUGCCUACUAGGUUGUGCGGGUUCUGACGCCGGCACAGCCGAAGCAAAAGUGUUAAGUAGGCCGCCUGGGGAGUACGGUCGCAAGGCUAAAACUCAAAGGAAUUGACGGGGGCUCACACAAGCGGUGGAGCAUGUGGAUCAAUUCGAAGCAACGCGCAGAACCCUUACCUGGGUUUGACAUGCUUGGAUGCCCUUUCUGGAAACAGAGUAGGCUGCCCUUCGGGGGGUGAAACUUUGCACAGGGUGCCUGCAU
rnacentral:rRNA from 1 species